rnacentral:rRNA from 1 species
UUAUCGGAGAGUUUGAUCCUGGCUCAGGACGAACGCUGGCGGCGUGCCUAAUACAUGCAAGUCGAGCGGACAGAUGGGAGCUUGCUCCCUGAUGUUAGCGGCGGACGGGUGAGUAACACGUGGGUAACCUGCCUGUAAGACUGGGAUAACUCCGGGAAACCGGGGCUAAUACCGGAUGCUUGG